rnacentral:tmRNA from 1 species
GGGGGUGACUGGCUUCGACGAGGAAAUCGGUGUUUACGUAUGCGCUGCAAAGCUGGAGCGUCUUUCAAAACCGCUUCAAAAUUCAAGUGCGAAAAACACUGGCGGGGUUCUAUCCCCGAUUCAGCCUGCUUACGCUUUUGCCUAAGCGGCCGUCCAUGGAUGUAGAGCUUGAGUAAGUCCAUCGGACGUCAUUCUUCAAGCACGAGUGAACGAAGUCCUGCGUUCACUUUAAACUUCGGACUCGAGGAGGUGCGUUUCUGUCCAUCUCUUAUGCAUCUCCUUUAAACCUUCAGAUGAACUACGUAGCGUAGAUGUGCGCAUUCACUUUUCUUCGGACGGGAGUUCGAUUCUCCCCACCUCCACAA